rnacentral:rRNA from 1 species
UACGUAGGGUGCAAGCGUUGUCCGGAAUUAUUGGGCGUAAAGAGCUCGUAGGCGGUCUGUUGCGUCGGCUGUGAAAACCCGGGGCUCAACUCCGGGCCUGCAGCCGAUACGGGCAGACUAGAGUUCGGCAGGGGAGACUGGAAUUCCUGGUGUAGCGGUGAAAUGCGCAGAUAUCAGGAGGAACACCGGUGGCGAAGGCGGUUCUCUGGGCAUGUCCUGACGCUGAGGAGCGAAAGUGUGGGGGAGCGAACAGG